GAAGGACCCGGUCUUCGGACUGGGAGCGUACACAGGUGCUGCAUGGCUGUCGUCAGUUCGUGUCGUGAGAUGUUGGGUUAAGUCCGUAACGAGCGCAACCCUUGUCCUUAGUUACCAGCACGUUAUGGUGGGCACUCUAAGGAGACUGCCGGUGACAAACCGGAGGAAGGUGGGGAUGACGUCAAGUCAUCAUGGCCCUUACGGCCUGGGCUACACACGUGCUACAAUGGUCGGUACAAAGGGUUGCCAAGCCGCGAGGUGGAGCUAAUCCCAUAAAACCGAUCGUAGUCCGGAUCGCAGUCUGCAACUCGACUGCGUGAAGUCGGAAUCGCUAGUAAUCGUGAAUCAGAAUGUCACGGUGAAUACGUUCCCGGGCCUU
rnacentral:rRNA from 1 species